rnacentral:rRNA from 1 species
UACGUAGGGGGCAAGCGUUGUUCGGAAUCACUGGGCGUAAAGGGCGCGUAGGCGGCCGAUUAAGUCGGGGGUGAAAGCCUGUGGCUCAACCACAGAAUUGCCUUCGAUACUGAUUGGCUUGAGACCGGAAGAGGUCAGUGGAACUGCGAGUGUAGAGGUGAAAUUCGUAGAUAUUCGCAAGAACACCAGUGGCGAAGGCGGCUGACUGGUCCGGUUCUGACGCUGAGGCGCGAAAGCGUGGGGAGCAAACAGG